rnacentral:rRNA from 1 species
AUCCCAGGAGCUUGCUCCUGGGUGAGAGUGGCGAACGGGUGAGUAAUGCGUGACCGACCUGCCCCAUACACCGGAAUAGCUCCUGGAAACGGGUGGUAAUGCCGGAUGCUCCAGUUGGAUGCAUGUCCUUCUGGGAAAGAUUCAUCGGUAUGGGAUGGGGUCGCGUCCUAUCAGCUUGAUGGCGGGGUAACGGCCCACCAUGGCUUCGACGGGUAGCCGGCCUGAGAGGGCGACCGGCCACAUUGGGACUGAGAUACGGCCCAGACUCCUACGGGAGGCAGCAGUGGGGAAUAUUGCACAAUGGGCGCAAGCCUGAUGCAGCGACGCCGCGUGCGGGAUGACGGCCUUCGGGUUGUAAACCGCUUUUGACUGGGAGCAAGCCCUUCGGGGUGAGUGUACCUUUCGAAUAAGCACCGGCUAACUACGUGCCAGCAGCCGCGGUAAUACGUAGGGUGCAAGCGUUAUCCGGAAUUAUUGGGCGUAAAGGGCUCGUAGGCGGUUCGUCGCGUCCGGUGUGAAAGUCCAUCGCUUAACGGUGGAUCCGCGCCGGGUACGGGCGGGCUUGAGUGCGGUAGGGGAGACUGGAAUUCCCGGUGUAACGGUGGAAUGUGUAGAUAUCGGGAAGAACACCAAUGGCGAAGGCAGGUCUCUGGGCCGUCACUGACGCUGAGGAGCGAAAGCGUGGGGAGCGAACAGGAUUAGAUACCCUGGUAGUCCACGCCGUAAACGGUGGAUGCUGGAUGUGGGGANCAUUCCACGGUCUCCGUGUCGGANCCAACGCGUUAANCAUCCCGCCUGGGGAGUACGGCCGCAAGGCUAAAACUCAAAGAAAUUGACGGGGGCCNGCACAAGCGGCGGA